rnacentral:rRNA from 1 species
AGAGUUUGAUCCUGGCUCAGAGUGAACGCUGGCGGCGUGCCUAACACAUGCAAGUCGAGCGAAGUGGUAGCUGUAGCAAUACAGUGUACGCUUAGCGGCAGACGGGUGAGUAACACGUAGGGAACCUUCCUCUUAGCGGGGGAUAGCCAGCCGAAAGGUUGGGUAAUACCGCGUACGAUUCCUUGAAGGCAUCUUCGAGGAAUGAAACAUCCGCAAGGAUGACUGAGAGAGGGCCCUGCGGCCUAUCAGCUAGUUGGUGAGGUAACGGCUCACCAAGGCUACGACGGGUAUCCGGCCUGAAAGGGCGAACGGACACACUGACACUGAGACACGGGUCAGACACCUACGGGUGGCAGCAGUGAGGAAUCUUGGACAAUGGGGGCAACCCUGAUCCAGCGACGCCGCGUGAAGGAUGAAGGUCUUCGGAUUGUAAACUUCUUUUGUUGGGGAAUAAAAAAUCUGUGGAAACACGGAUCUUGAAGGUACCCGAUGAAUAAGCCACGGCUAACUUCGUGCCAGCAGCCGCGGUAAUACGAAGGUGGCAAGCGUUACUCGGAAUUACUAGGCGUAAAGGGCAGGUAGGUGGUUCGGUAAGUCUGUUGUGUAAGCUCCCGGCUUAACUGGGAGAGGUCAACGGAAACUACCGGACUUGAGUAUAGGAGAGGUUACUGGAAUUCCCGGUGUAGCGGUGAAAUGCGCAGAGAUCGGGAGGAACACCAAUGGCGAAAGCAGGUAACUGGACUAUUACUGACACUCAGCUGCGAAAGCUAGGGGAGCAAACAGGAUUAGAUACCCUAGUAGUCC